rnacentral:rRNA from 1 species
CCUACGGGAGGCAGCAGUGAGGAAUAUUGGUCAAUGGACGAGAGUCUGAACCAGCCAAGUAGCGUGAAGGAUGACUGCCCUAUGGGUUGUAAACUUCUUUUAUAUGGGAAUAAUAUGUUUCACGUGUGGGAUUUUGUCUGUACCAUAUGAAUAAGCAUCGGCUAACUCCGUGCCAGCAGCCGCGGUAAUACGGAGGAUGCGAGCGUUAUCCGGAUUUAUUGGGUUUAAAGGGUGCGUAGGUGGGUUGUUAAGUUAGUUGUGAAAGUUUGGGGCUCACCCGUAAAAAUGCAGUUGAAACUGGCAGUCUAGAGAACAGUAGAGGUGGGCGGAAUUAGUGGUGUAGCGGUGAAAUGCAUAGAUAUCACGCAGAACCCCGAUUGCGAAGGCAGCAUACCGGUGCACAACUGACGCUCAGGCACGAGAGCGUGGGUAUCGAACAGGAUUAGAUACCCCAGUAGUC